AGAGUUUGAUCAUGGCUCAGAUUGAACGCUGGCGGCAUGCCUUACACAUGCAAGUCGAACGGCAGCGGCGGGGCAACCUGGGCGGCGAGUGGCGAACGGGUGAGUAAUAUAUCGGAACGUGCCCUGGAGUGGGGGAUAACGUAGCGAAAGUUACGCUAAUACCGCAUACGAUCUGAGGAUGAAAGCAGGGGACCUUCGGGCCUUGUGCUCCUGGAGCGGCCGAUAUCUGAUUAGCUAGUUGGUGGGGUAAAAGCCUACCAAGGCGACGAUCAGUAGCUGGUCUGAGAGGACGACCAGCCACACUGGAACUGAGACACGGUCCAGACUCCUACGGGAGGCAGCAGGUGGGGUAAUUUUGGACAAUGGGGGCAACCCUGAUCCAGCAAUGCCGCGUGUGUGAAGAAGGCCUUCGGGUUGUAAAGCACUUUUGUCAGGAACGAAACGGUUGAGGUUAAUACCCUUGGCUAAUGACGGUACCUGAAGAAUAAGCACCGGCUAACUACGUG
rnacentral:rRNA from 1 species